rnacentral:rRNA from 1 species
GCGACACUAUGUGUUGUUGGGUAGGGGAGCGUUCUGUAAGCCUGUGAAGGUGUACUGUGAGGUAUGCUGGAGGUAUCAGAAGUGCGAAUGCUGACAUAAGUAACGAUAAAGCGGGUGAAAAGCCCGCUCGCCGGAAGACCAAGGGUUCCUGUCCAACGUUAAUCGGGGCAGGGUGAGUCGACCCCUAAGGCGAGGCCGAAAGGCGUAGUCGAUGGGAAACAGGUUAAUAUUCCUGUACUUGGUGUUACUGCGAAGGGGGGACGGAGAAGGCUAUGUUGGCCGGGCGACGGUUGUCCCGGUUUAAGCGUGUAGGCUGGUUUUCCAGGCAAAUCCGGAAAAUCAAGGCUGAGGCGUGAUGACGAGGCACUACGGUGCUGAAGCAACAAAUGCCCUGCUUCCAGGAAAAGCCUCUAAGCAUCAGGUAACAUCAAAUCGUACCCCAAACCGACACAGGUGGUCAGGUAGAGAAUACCAAGGCGCUUGAGAGAACUCGGGUGAAGGAACUAGGCAAAAUGGUGCCGUAACUUCGGGAGAAGGCACGCUGAUAUGUAGGUGAAGUCCCUCGCGGAUGGAGCUGAAAUCAGUCGAAGAUACCAGCUGGCUGCAACUGUUUAUUAAAAACACAGCACUGUGCAAACACGAAAGUGGACGUAUACGGUGUGACGCCUGCCCGGUGCCGGAAGGUUAAUUGAUGGGGUCAGCGCAAGCGAAGCUCUUGAUCGAAGCCCCGGUAAACGGCGGCCGUAACUAUAACGGUCCUAAGGUAGCGAAAUUCCUUGUCGGGUAAGUUCCGACCUGCACGAAUGGCGUAAUGAUGGCCAGGCUGUCUCCACCCGAGACUCAGUGAAAUUGAACUCGCUGUGAAGAUGCAGUGUACCCGCGGCAAGACGGAAAGACCCCGUGAACCUUUACUAUAGCUUGACACUGAACAUUGAGCCUUGAUGUGUAGGAUAGGUGGGAGGCUUUGAAGUGUGGACGCCAGUCUGCAUGGAGCCGACCUUGAAAUACCACCCUUUAAUGUUUGAUGUUCUAACGUGGACCCGUAAUCCGGGUUGCGGACAGUGUCUGGUGGGUAGUUUGACUGGGGCGGUCUCCUCCUAAAGAGUAACGGAGGAGCACGAAGGUUGGCUAAUCCUGGUCGGACAUCAGGAGGUUAGUGCAAUGGCAUAAGCCAGCUUGACUGCGAGCGUGACGGCGCGAGCAGGUGCGAAAGCAGGUCAUAGUGAUCCGGUGGUUCUGAAUGGAAGGGCCAUCGCUCAACGGAUAAAAGGUACUCCGGGGAUAACAGGCUGAUACCGCCCAAGAGUUCAUAUCGACGGCGGUGUUUGGCACCUCGAUGUCGGCUCAUCACAUCCUGGGGCUGAAGUAGGUCCCAAGGGUAUGGCUGUUCGCCAUUUAAAGUGGUACGCGAGCUGGGUUUAGAACGUCGUGAGACAGUUCGGUCCCUAUCUGCCGU